GCCACCACAGACCACUCUAACACGGCUCUUUAAAUAUCCAUUAAUUAGUUAAUAUUGCCAUUCCCAGAGCUAGCAGUAGCCUCUAUUCUUCAUAAUUAAAAAGAGUUGGAGGUCUGGCAGAGCGAAGGAGGCCCUGCGUGAUUUACACAGCAGCCCUGCGGCUCCAGCUGGGAAACCCGAAGCCUAGACCAGGGAGAACAGAAGCAACCGGUGGCACAGCAAGAUGUUGGCCACCAGGUUCCAGAUGCCAGCAUGAUGCC